CUGUAGAGUACGAGCGACAGGACUCUUAUAAACACACUUUAUCCAUCAGUCAACUCAGGAGCAGAAACCUAGAGCAUUUUCAAGCAGUCAGCGGAUCAUUCAUGGAUUCUCCAUACAAUGGCAGCACGUCCCUUCAGACAUCCACCUCCAACCUCAACACCAGCUUCUCCAGACCAGCCGAGCCGGAAGAGGAGGGCAAGUUCUCCAGCGACGCCAUCUGGCUGUGGGUGGCCAUAAUUGCAACCAUUGGCAACAUUGUGGUGGUAGCGGUGGUGUGCGCCUGUGCCUUUUAGACCCCAUAGUUUGCAAGAACACAGCCUGAACUCCUGAUCCUUCACCCGUUUGCACCUUAACAGUAUGUAGUAUGCAAGCAACAACCUUCUGUCUCC